rnacentral:rRNA from 1 species
CUUAGGACGAACGCUGGCGGCGUGCCUAAUACAUGCAAGUCGAACGGUCUUUUCUAUGGAAGCUUGCUUCCACUGAGAAGAUAGUGGCGAACGGGUGAGGUAACACGUGGGUAACCUGCCCAUAAGAGGGGGAUAACAUCCGGAAACGGGUGCUAAUACCGCAUAGUUUUCUUGAUCGCAUGAUCGGGAAAGGAAAGACGGCCUUUGUGCUGUCGCUUAUGGAUGGACCCGCGGCGUAUUAGUUAGUUGGUGAGGUAACGGCUCACCAAGACGAUGAUACGUAGCCGACCUGAGAGGGUGAUCGGCCACAUUGGGACUGAGACACGGCCCAAACUCCUACGGGAGGCAGCAGUAGGGAAUCUUCCGCAAUGGACGAAAGUCUGACGGAGCAACGCCGCGUGAGUGAAAGAAGGUUUUCGGAUCGUAAAACUCUGUUGUCAGAGAAGAACAAGUUGGAGAGUAACUGCUCCAGCCUUGACGGUAUCUGACCAGAAAGCCACGGCUAACUACGUGCCAGCCGCCGC